UACAGUUUGAGAAUCUGGAUAGGUGACAG
rnacentral:piRNA from 1 species